rnacentral:rRNA from 1 species
UCCAGACUCCUACGGGAGGCAGCAGUGGGGAAUAUUGCACAAUGGGGGAAACCCUGAUGCAGCGACGCCGCGUGAGUGAAGAAGUAUUUCGGUAUGUAAAGCUCUAUCAGCAGGAAAGAAAAUGACGGUACCUGACUAAGAAGCCCCGGCUAACUACGUGCCAGCAGCCGCGGUAAUACGUAGGGGGCAAGCGUUAUCCGGAUUUACUGGGUGUAAAGGGAGCGUAGACGGCGAUGCAAGCCAGAUGUGAAAGCCCGGGGCUCAACCCCGGGACUGCAUUUGGAACUGUGUGGCUGGAGUGCCGGAGAGGCAGGCGGAAUUCCUAGUGUAGCGGUGAAAUGCGUAGAUAUUAGGAGGAACACCAGUGGCGAAGGCGGCCUGCUGGACGAUGACUGACGUUGAGGCUCGAAAGCGUGGGGAGCAAACAGGAUUAGAUACCCGCGUA